AUGGAGGUGAUGGUCUAGUGGUUAAGCAUUGGGCUUGAGACCAGAGGAUCCUUGGUUCAAAUCCCAGCCUGACUGGAAAAUCACUAAGGGCCCUUGGGCAAGGUCUUUAAUCCCCCAUUGCUCCUGGUGUGUAGUGAGCGCCUUGUAUGGCAGCACCCUGACAUCGGCGUGAAUGUGAGGCAUUAUUGUAAAGCACUCUGAGCGUCUGAUACAGAUGGAAAAGGGUUAUA